CAUAUGAGUAUGCGUAGCAGGUUCAUCAGAUCCUCCUGACAUGUUCUUCCUUCUCCAAAAAUAUUUUCUUUUAUGUUUAAUUCUUCGUCAUAUGAUCAUUUCCUAUUACCCCGGUGCCUUUCGCUUGAAUUCUUGCUGAUGUUGGCUGUAGCUUCAAACGGCUUCGCCUGCGUGCCUACGUAAAUUUGUACUGAGCGAUGCCAUUUUGAAAGAAAAAAAAACUGAAUAAACUACAACCCAUCAGAUGAGAAAAGGCUGAUUCUGCCAAUUCAAGUUGGAUGUCUGGCUAGGUGUCUUGUGCAGACUUGACAUAGGCUAUGUUGGACACUAGCAAGUGUUCCCAAUCACAUCUUAAAGAAAUUCAAGUUCGAUGCAGGAAAUGUUUGCUCUUUCAAAAUCAAUGUAUUUGUGAGUACCAAGCUGAAUAAGGUUUAUUAUGCAUGCUGAAUAAGGUACUGAAAUGAUCUGAAUUUCAAACUCUGUUUUCUUUGCUUGCUUGGUAGUACAGUCUGCAGUACAUAACACAUCUCAUUUCUUCUGUUAUAGUUACAUUUUUCAGAAGCUUGAGGUUCUAAGGGCUGCUUUAUAAAAGCUUUGUACCAAAUUUACUGAAUUAGAAAUAACAGUUGAUAGAGCUGUUCCUUUCAGUCAGCUAAACGUCAAUAUGUUGGAUGAUGUUGUGGAGAGGGCCACCGAGAGGGGGUUUGCAUUGCCAAAGUCGAAGGUGGCCAUUGCCUUGACCUGCCUGGACCUCUUGACCUUUAACAACGCUCAAACAGGAUACACAUGUUGGAGGAGGAGACCACAAGCUAAUUGAUGAUUUGGAUGAGUGGAUCAGAGGACGACAUAAGCAGGUAUUUCCAUUUGAUCAUACCCAAAAUGAUAAUGUAUACACUAACUUAAGAUGAUGGCUCUUCUACUCUGCUAACAUAACAUGCAUGUGCUUGUGUGGAGUGCCUACAAAAUUAAUAGCUCAAGUCUCUCAACACGCGGAUGGAUGAUGUUGUGGAGAGGGCCACCGAGAGGGGGUUUGCAUUGCCAAAGUUGAAGGUGGCCAUCGCCUUGACCUGCCUGGACCUCCUGACCUUUCACAACGCUCAAACAGGAAACACAUGUUGGAGGAGGAGACCACAAGCUAAUUGAUGAUUUGGAUGAGUGGAUCAGAGGACGACAUGAGCAGAUGUGGAGAGGGUUCUCCUAGCGGUCAUUGCAACUGUGAUAUGCAUUUCCUUGCUCUCGGCUCUGAUCAAGUUUGUAGCGUCUGGGAUGCAUAUGAAAAUCCACAUGUGCGAUUUGGUUGUUAUAUUUUUUCCACACUGGUUUCUAGAGAUGUUCAAGUUAUCUCAUAUACUAUAUCGAAUUAUAAUGGAUAAGUUAGUGUACAUACUGAUUUGAAGAUCCUUUUGCUGUCAUACACAUAUUACUGCAGGACCAUAGCGGACCAUUGCAAUGCGGCAAAUCAAAUUUCAAUACUCAACACUCUUCUAUGUGGAUUAGUAAGUUG